UACGUAGGGGGCAAGCGUUGUCCGGAUUUAUUGGGCGUAAAGCGCGUGUAGGCGGCUGGGUAGGUCCGCUGUGAAAACUUGAGGCUCAACCUCAAGAGGUCGGUGGAAACCCUCCAGCUAGAGUCCGGAAGAGGAGAAUGGAAUUCCUGGUGUAGCGGUGAAAUGCGCAGAUAUCAGGAAGAACACCCGUGGCGAAAGCGCUCUGCUGGACCUUAACUGACACUGAGGGACGAAAGCUAGGGGAGCGAAUGGG
rnacentral:rRNA from 1 species